GCAGGCAUCGUGCCCCGUUCGUCAUGGCCUCCACACCCCCCAAGACAGCGUGCCCUGCCACGGCCACGCGAUGUCGCCCAGCACCCGACCCUUCUCUCGUCUCGGAAGGGGAAAAAGAAAAAAAAAGGUGGGCUCCAAUGGAGCGGCAAUGGGAAUCGAACCCUGGUCACGACAUUGUAUGCAGGUCGCGUGAGUGGGUGGAAGCGCAGACUGAGACUGGGCGCUGAGUUUGAAGCCUUGGAUCAAACUUUUGUGGGCAGCCAUCAGAUCUGAUCUAUGUGUUUUAUUAGCCAUUGAUUUUAAUAGAAACAAAAUUUUGUGUGCAUUUUUUAGGUACAUAAUGAUUAAGGCUCUCAGCGGGGGAUGUUUUCUUUGGUGGACCAAGCAUAAUUUUGUUGGGUCAAUUAUAGUGG
rnacentral:lncRNA from 1 species